AUACUUUCCUGGCAGGUGGUUUACCCAGGCAGGGUGAGGCUUAUCCAUUGCACUUAAUGUGCUGACCCAUGCUAUAUCCCCAACUGUGGGAGACUUGACUGCAUAAUUUGGGGUAGUGAGGGACUGUGUUUGUGCUCUCCCUUG
ensembl:snRNA U1 U1 spliceosomal RNA